rnacentral:rRNA from 1 species
UACAGAGACUGCAAGCGUUAUUCGGAUUCACUGGGCGUAAAGGGUGCGCAGGCGGCCGUGUGUGUGAGGCGUGAAAGCCUGGAGCUUAGCUCCAGAAUUGCACCUCAAACUACACGGCUAGAGCAUUGGAGAGGGUAGCAGAAUUCACGGUGUAGCAGUGAAAUGCGUAGAUAUCGUGAGGAAUACCAGAGGCGAAGGCGGCUACCUGGACAAUUGCUGACGCUCAGGCACGAAAGCGUGGGGAGCAAAAGGG